UAGUGUAAUGGAAAACACGGCAGACCGGAUAUCUGUAAGUGCGGGUACGACUCCCGC
rnacentral:tRNA from 1 species